ACCAGACUCCUACGGGAGGCAGCAGUGGGGAAUAUUGGGCAAUGGGCGCAAGCCUGACCCAGCAACGCCGCGUGAAGGAGGAAGGCUUUCGGGUUGUAAACUUCUUUUAAGAGGGAAGAGAAGAAGACGGUACCUCUUGAAUAAGCCACGGCUAACUACGUGCCAGCAGCCGCGGUAAUACGUAGGUGGCAAGCGUUGUCCGGAUUUACUGGGUGUAAAGGGAGCGUAGACGGCGCUGCAAGUCCGGAGUGAAAGUCCAUGGCUUAACCAUGGUACUGCUCUGGAAACUGUGGAGCUUGAGUGCGGGAGGGGCAGGCGGAAUUCCUAGUGUAGCGGUGAAAUGCGUAGAUAUUAGGAGGAACACCGGCGGCGAAGGCGGCUUACUGGACGGUAACUGACGUUGAGGCUCGAAAGCGUGGGGAGCAAACAGGAUUAGAUACCCUUGUAAG
rnacentral:rRNA from 1 species